rnacentral:rRNA from 1 species
GACGAACGCUGGCGGCGUGCUUAACACAUGCAAGUCGAACGGAAAGGCCCUGCUUUUGUGGGGUGCUCGAGUGGCGAACGGGUGAGUAACACGUGAGUAACCUGCCCUUGACUUUGGGAUAACUUCAGGAAACUGGGGCUAAUACCGGAUAGGAGCUCCUGCUGCCUGGUGGGGGUGGGAAAUUUUCGGCGGUUGGGGAUGGACUCGCGGCUUAUCAGCUUGUUGGUGGGGUAGUGGCUUACCAAGGCUUUGACGGGUAGCCGGCCUGAGAGGGUGACCGGCCACAUUGGGACUGAGAUACGGCCCAGACUCCUACGGGAGGCAGCAGUGGGGAAUAUUGCACAAUGGGCGGAAGCCUGAUGCAGCAACGCCGCGUGCGGGAUGACGGCCUUCGGGUUGUAAACCGCUUUCGCCUGUGACGAAGCGUGAGUGACGGUAAUGGGUAAAGAAGCACCGGCUAACUACGUG